UACGUAGGUGGCAAGCGUUAUCCGGAUUUACUGGGCGUAAAGGGAGCGUAGGCGGAUACUUAAGUGGGAUGUGAAAUACCCGAGCUUAACUUGGGUGCUGCAUUCCAAACUGAGUAUCUAGAGUGCAGGAGAGGAGAGUGGAAUUCCUAGUGUAGCGGUGAAAUGCUUAGAGAUUAGGAAGAACACCAGUGGCGAAGGCGACUCUCUGGACUGUAACUGACGCUGAGGCUCGAAAGCGUGGGGAGCAAACAGG
rnacentral:rRNA from 1 species